rnacentral:rRNA from 1 species
GAUGAACGCUGGCGGCGUGCUUAACACAUGCAAGUCGAACGAACGUAGCAAUACGUUAGUGGCGGACGGGUGAGUAACGCGUGAGCAAUCUGCCCAUAUCAGGGGAAUAACAGUUAGAAAUGACUGCUAAUACCGCAUAGGACCACGGGGAGGCAUCUCUCUGAGGUGAAAGAUUUAUCGGAUAUGGAUGAGCUCGCGUCCCAUUAGGUAGUUGGUGAGGUAACGGCCCACCAAGCCGACGAUGGGUAGCCGGCCUUAGAGGGUGAUCGGCCACAUUGGAACUGAGACACGGUCCAA